rnacentral:lncRNA from 1 species
ACACUCAUUGUUUAAAAAAAAAAAAGAUUAUGCUAAGGUCCUAUUUUCCAUUUUCAAGGCAAAUCCGUGCUCAACUAAAUUAAACAAGCUAACAUUUUCGCUUCCCCUCGCGUUGGCAUUAGUUUCCAGUAGAGAAAUCAAACAUAAAGGAACAAUUGAUAGGAAACGUGCGUAUUCAUUAGAACUAGACAAUCACCAGAACUAACUAAAUUAUAAAUUGGAGAGGCAAAUGAAACAGAAACAGACCUUCAAACAAAGCAGAGUUCCAAAAUAACACUAUUCCAAUGAAUAAUUGACGUAAACCUCAAUCUGGCAAGUUCAAGCGGAUCCCACCGACAAAUUCGAACCACCCUCAACCUCGAUCGACUUUUCAGCAGCUCGAAGCCACGAAGCCAUUGGUGGAAUAACUUUUCGGAUCGGAAAUGUAUAGUUUUGAUGUCUCUUUCAAGGAGGGGGUCGUUUAGUCGUUCAAAAACAGGGAUUCUAAGGUGCGUUUGGAGAAGGGUUACGGCUGGUGGGUGGGGUUCUUUGGUGGCUGUUUGGCUGUGAGAGAGUGACGGCUGUUAAGGAGGUUAGCUAAUGUUCUCUUGGAGGAGGGUGACGACGGGAGAUGGGGUUGUGAAGAGGAGUGACGGACGUUGCUGUCUCCGGCGGGUUUCUUACGGGUUAUGGCCUCCGGCGAGUUGUGGUUGUUUGGCUGCGUUCAGUUGAAGGACAAGCGAGGAGGAGCAGUGGGAUUCUACGUUAGAGGUAGGGCGGCUGGCUGACGGAGAGGCGGCGAUGUGUGUGGAGAUGGAGAGCUGCUGGGGUUUUUCAAGGUGUUCUGUUGUGGUUCUCUUAGUUAUGGUGUGGAAGAUGUAGUUGAAAAUUUGAAAAUUGCAGCCAUCGAUUCUCCUCCAGUUAGGUCUCUCAAGGGGUUUAUUUUUUUAAAAAUCUGAUGGGUUCUUUUUGUUGGGGGUAUGGGCUUGUGGGUUAGAGAAGAAAAAUAAUUGGGC